UUUUUUUAUUCACUUUCAUUUGUUUUUAUUCACUUUUUCAUAAUUUAUAAUCGCUUUUAUUCACUUUUCAUUGAAUUUCUUCAGUUUAAUUCACUAUUUGGUUUUUAGUCACUUUUUGCUCACUUUUAUUCAAGUUGUAUUCAGGUUGAUUCACUUUUUAUUCCCUUUUUAAUCACAUUAUGGUGGGUCUGGGCGUGAGGUCAAGGUGGGGCUAAUAAAGGCCUGGGGGCGUGGUCUGUGCUGUGGGAGGGGCUAAUGUAGGAGGGUGGGUGUGGUCUAGGCUGAGGGAUAGGUCGUACCAGGGGAUGAGGCCUCUGUUGGGGUGGGCCAAUGAGGGACAAGGGGCGGGGACUCGGGUGAGGGUGUGAUCGAGGCUGUGGCUGGGGCCAGGACUAGUGAGGGGUGGAGCUGUGGUGUAGGCAAGGGGCGGGGACAGUUCUGGGGGCGUGGUCUAGGCUGGGGCUAGGGCCGUGGCCGGGGUGGGGUCUCAGCUAGGAGCAGGGCUCAGGGAGGCCCGGGAUUCGGGGGCUUUGUGACAGAGGGCGUGGCUUGGGUAGGUGCGUGGUCAGGGCUCUGGGCGGGGUUAGUACAGGGCGGGGGGCGCGGCCCAAAGAGAGCGGAGCCAUACUUAGGGGCGUCUCCUUGGCAAGGGAUGUGGGUGUGGCCAAGACGGGGCUGGGUGGGAAGGUCUGAAGCAGGCCCGAGAUGGGACCAUGCUGGGGGGUGUGGCCAGGGCUGGGGGGCGGGACCAGAGCUGGGGUCGAUGAAGGCCUGGGGGUGUGCUUAGGCUGGAAGUGUGGUUCCAUGCUGGGCGUGGGCCCAGCCACGGGUGGGUGGGGCUAUGGGAGGGGCGGGAUCACUACAGAGAGCAGGAUGAAACGAGGGAAAGGUUAAAAACCACAGAUGGGCAGCAAGAUAGAGGAAGACAGAGAAAACCAGCGAGCAAAAAGAGCAAGAGAAGAAGAAUUAUAUUGCAGUGUAGGGAGAAAGACUGGGACACUUAAAAGGAUGGUCUGGGGGACACA
rnacentral:lncRNA from 1 species